rnacentral:rRNA from 1 species
CCUACGGGUGGCUGCAGUGGGGAAUUUUGGACAAUGGGCGCAAGCCUGAUCCAGCCAUGCCGCGUGUCUGAAGAAGGCCUUCGGGUUGUAAAGGACUUUUGUCAGGGAAGAAAAGGCUGUCGCUAAUACCGACAGUUGAUGACGGUACCUGAAGAAUAAGCACCGGCUAACUACGUGCCAGCAGCCGCGGUAAUACGUAGGGUGCGAGCGUUAAUCGGAAUUACUGGGCGUAAAGCGAGCGCAGACGGUUACUUAAGCAGGAUGUGAAAUCCCCGGGCUCAACCUGGGAACUGCGUUCUGAACUGGGUGACUAGAGUGUGUCAGAGGGAGGUAGAAUUCCACGUGUAGCAGUGAAAUGCGUAGAGAUGUGGAGGAAUACCGAUGGCGAAGGCAGCCUCCUGGGAUAACACUGACGUUCAUGCUCGAAAGCGUGGGUAGCAAACAGGAUUAGAUACCCCGGUAGUC